rnacentral:rRNA from 1 species
CCUACGGGCGGCUGCAGUGGGGAAUAUUGGACAAUGGGGGGAACCCUGAUCCAGCCAUGCCGCGUGUGUGAAGAAGGCCCUCGGGUUGUAAAGCACUUUCAGUGAGGAAGAACGCCUGGUGGUUAAUACCCAUCAGGAAAGACAUCACUCACAGAAGAAGCACCGGCUAACUCCGUGCCAGCAGCCGCGGUAAUACGGAGGGUGCGAGCGUUAAUCGGAAUUACUGGGCGUAAAGCGCGCGUAGGUGGCUUGAUAAGCCGGUUGUGAAAGCCCCGGGCUCAACCUGGGAACGGCAUCCGGAACUGUCAAGCUAGAGUGCAGGGGAGGAAGGUAGAAUUCCCGGUGUAGCGGUGAAAUGCGUAGAGAUCGGGAGGAAUACCAGUGGCGAAGGCGGCCUUCUGGACUGACACUGACACUGAGGUGCGAAAGCGUGGGUAGCAAACAGGAUUAGAUACCCUUGUAGUC